rnacentral:ncRNA from 1 species
CACAAGGUUUGGUCCUAGCCUCAGUAUUAUUUUUAACAAAACUUACACAUGCAAGUUUCCGCAUCCCAGUGAGAUUGCCCCUACUCAUCCUUUAAGAAAACAGGGAGCAGGUAUCAGGCACACACUCGUAGCCCAAAACACCUUGCUCAGCCACACCCCCAAGGGAAUUCAGCAGUGAUUAAUAUUAACAAAUAAACGAAAGUUUGACCUAGUCACAGUUAUAUAGAGUCGGCCAAUCUCGUGCCAGCCGCCGCGGUUAUACGAGCGACCCAAAUUAAUAAAAAAACGGCGUAAAGAGUGCAUAAGGAAGACCUUCUACCAUUAAAACUGAAGUAGUGCUUAACUGUUAUACGUACUCGCACCCAUGAAAAACAAUUACGAAAGUAAUUUUAUAAAAAUAGACCUCUUAAAACACGAUAGCUAAAGAACAAACUGGGAUUAGAUACCCCACUAUGUUUAGCCUUAAACCUAGGUAUUUACUUACCCAAAUACCCGCCAGAGAACUACAAGCGCCAGCUUGAAACCCAAAGGACUUGGCGGUGCCUUAGACCCCCCUAGAGGAGCCUGUUCUAGAACCGAUAAUCCCCGUUCAACCUCACCAUCUCUUGAUAUUACAGCCUAUAUACCGCCGUCGCCAGCUUGCCCUAUGAGGGAUAGACAGCAAGCAAAAAGAAUUGACCUUCAAAACGUCAGGUCGAGGUGUAGCUUAUGAGAUGGGAAGAAAUGAGCUACAUUUUCUACCAAGAUCAACAGAUAAAUAAUGAAAUCAAAAUUGAAGCUGGAUUUAGUAGUAAGAAAUAAAUAGUAUAUUAAUCUGAAAAUGGCUCUAAGGCGCGCACACACCGCCCGUCACUCUCCUCAACUGACCCCUAAAUAUAUCUAAUAACUCUUCUAAAUAUAGAGGAGGCAAGUCGUAACAUGGUAAGUGUACUGGAAAGUGCACUUGGAAU